UUUAGUUCAGUAUGCUUUUUAAUGUUUUAUUUUUAAUUUUUUAAGCUUUGUUUUGGCCCCAUACAAUACUAUACUGGCAGUCCAUCCGUACAUGCCAGAGUUACGUGGCUCAGGCAAGGCCCGGAACCAAGCUCAAGGCAAGUUUUGAACAUUAAUUGUGUUGCAUAUUUUCUAUAACCUAUAUAUUUCAGGCAUGCAAUUAUCUACUAGUGUGGAUCCAAAUUUCAUAUUCGGGGCCACAAACAAACAAAAAAAGAUUUCAAACCACAAAGGGGUUCAAACCACAGUUAUCAAGAUAUGACCCGUCAUCAAACUGAUGUGGGUUCUAGUCCAAGUAAAUUUGGUACGACCGCCCGUCGAAACGAUAUGAUUGGAUUUUUAAAAUAGUAACAAAAUAAAAAAAAAUAACACUUUGAAAAUAUGUUAUAUAUUAAAAAAAAUAAAAUGUUGCCCACUUGGUUUCGAUGAUUAAACUGCAGGAUCUGUCAAAAAUCGACCGAGCAUUAAUUUUGAUCAAUUUUUUAUUAAAUUUAUUUUUAAUAUUUGUCAGACCUAUCAAAGCAUCCGUCAACGGUCCAUCCAGCUGCACCAACAAGCAUUGAUCUGAUGAAGACGGCUAUGGUUAAAUUUGAGCAAGUACUAAAGAUUUUCGUGAACGCAGAAGUUUCUUAGGAUGAAAAUUUCGAGGAAGGAAGUGUAGGUGACUUUCUCUCGAGACUUUUGGGCCAACAAGGAUGAAAAUUUCGAGAAAAAUUUGGAGGGAACUGUAGGUGAUUUUCUCUCAAGACUUUUGGGUCAAUGAAAAUUUCGAGAAGAGAACGAUAGGUGAUUUUCUCUUAAGACUAUUGGGUCAACAAACCACUACUUUUUGGCCACUAAAGCUGCCUAACUGGUCCGUCAUUCUAGACCAACCUUUUUGGUUCUUUAUUCAGGAAAUUACACAGCAUGGUUCCAACCCAAAUUUAAGUUGGAAGUAAAUGCGCAAGUUAUAUAUUUGAGUAUGAAAGGCAAAGAGAGAGAGAAAGAGAGAUACACAUUGAGAUAAAAGUAGGGCGAGGCGAGAGAGUGCGUGUUAUAUUGAGAGAAAUAAGGUUUCUUCUGAACUGCCAAACCCACAAACAAUGCAGGGUUUGUUGAAUGCUAUUUUAGCCUUCCUUCUGUGUGCUUUACUACUUCCUGUUAUGGCGUCAAGGCAUAUUUAUGAGCAAGCUCCUCCACAAUUUGGAGAUCAAAUUCAAAAUGAAUACAAUACACGUGAGGUGGUUAUCCUUCAGCGUGCUCGUAGCCCUCCAAGAAGCCGUCCGAGUUCCCAAUCUAGCCGUCCGAGUCCCCAAUCUAACCCACCGAGAACUGUCAUUACACCGCCUCAAUUUCGUUUACGGCCACCUCCACCUCCUCGCCGAACCCCAUCACCUAAAUUCUAGAUUAAGCCAUUUUUACAAUGUAGAAAAUAUUUUUUUCUGGGGUUGGUCCCCUUAGCUCUUUGAUCUUAAGGGAAUCUCUAUUAUGUUCAUGGGGUUAUUUCUCAUUUUAAUCACUUUGUGGAAUUGAGGAUUUUUGCAUCUUUUGCAAUCGUUUAUGGGAUGCAAUUUUCUUUUUCUUUUUAUUGUUUAUUUUUUAUUGGUAUUUUAUCAGUUGCAUGUAUUCAUGGCACUUA